AGAUUGAACGCUGGCGGCAUGCCUAACACAUGCAAGUCGAACGGGAGUAGCAAUACUCUAGUGGCGGACGGGUGAGGAAUACGUAGGAAUUUGCCCUUAAGUGGGGGAUAACCCGGGGAAACCCGGAUUAAUACCGCAUGACCUCGAAAGAGCAAAGUGGGGGAUCGCAAGACCUCACGCUUUUGGAGAAGCCUACGUCGGAUUAGCUAGUUGGUGAGGUAAUGGCUCACCAAGGCGACGAUCCGUAACUGGUCUGAGAGGAUGAUCAGUCACACCGGAACUGAGACACGGUCCGGACUCCUACGGGAGGCAGCAGUGGGGAAUAGUUGGACAAGUGGGCGCGAAGCCUGAUCCAGCAAUGCCGCGUGUGUAGAAGAAGGCCGUUCGGUUAGUAAAGUCUAACGUUUAAGGUUAGGG
rnacentral:rRNA from 1 species